GGGUUUAUAGCUUAAUAGGUUAAAGCAUAUUGCUCAUAACGAUAAAAAUGUAAGUUCAAUUCUUACUAAACUCA
rnacentral:tRNA from 1 species